rnacentral:rRNA from 1 species
GUAACAAUAAUUAUUUAUAUAAAAAUACCCGAAAUAAAAAGAUCUAAUAAGUUAUUAGUAGUUGUCGUUAAAGUUUCAAUAUGUAGCAUAAUAUAAUUUUAAUAAUUUUUUAGGGGAGAAAUUCCAACAGUUUUUAUGAUAGCUGGAUUAAGGAGAAAAGUAUUUAGUACUCAAAACAAUUAUAAAGUGAUAAGAUUUUAUAAUUAAAAUAAGAUGUUUUUAAUAGUCGUAGGGUUAAUCCCCUUAAAGCUGUUUAUUUAAUAACAUAUAAUAAAUAUCUCUUUUUAUUUUUACCCUUAUACUUAGAGCAAUCAGUUAUACUUAGUUUAUAAUGUUUAAAUUAGUAUCAACAUUUAAAAUUUUUAUUAAGGAACUCGGCAAACAUUAUAUUCGACUGUUUAUCAAAAACAUAGUCCGUUGCUAUUUAUAAUGGAUAUUGACUGCCCGGUGAUUUUUAUUUAACGGCCGCAGUACCUUGACUGUGCGAAGGUAGCAUAAUAAUUUGGCCUUUAAAUGGGGUCUAGGAUGAAAGGACUUACGAAUAGAAGCUGUCUCAAACUUUAACUAAAGAAAACUUAUUUUAAAGGUGCAAAUACCUUUAUAUGUAUGUAAUAGACGAGAAGACCCUUAGAAUUUAAUUUAAAAUAAAACGCAGUUUUAUUUUGAUUUUGUUGGGGCAACAAAGCAACAGUUAUUUAAUUUGCUUCUCUAUUGUAAAAAUAAGCCGACUAUUAGUAAGAAGAUUUAAAUUACCUUAGGGAUAACAGCAUAAUUUAAUAAAGAUUGUGACCUCGAUGUUGGAUUAGGGCCAAAAUAAUUUAACCAGUUAUUUUGUCAGUUCUGUUCGAACUUUUUAACCUACAUGAUCUGAGUUCA